rnacentral:rRNA from 1 species
UGGCUUAGGACGAACGCUGGCGGCGUGCCUAAUACAUGCAAGUCGAACGGUCUUUCUAUGGGAGCUUGCUUCACUGAGAAGAUAGUGGCGAACGGGUGAGUAACACGUGGGUAACCUGCCCAUAAGAGGGGGAUAACAUCCGGAAACGGGUGCUAAUACCGCAUAGUUUUCUUGAUCGCAUGAUCGGGAAAGGAAAGACGGCCUUUGUGCUGUCGCUUAUGGAUGGACCCGCGGCGUAUUAGUUAGUUGGUGAGGUAACGGCUCACCAAGACGAUGAUACGUAGCCGACCUGAGAGGGUGAUCGGCCACAUUGGGACUGAGACACGGCCCAAACUCCUACGGGAGGCAGCAGUAGGGAAUCUUCCGCAAUGGACGAAAGUCUGACGGGGCAACGCCGCGUGAGUGAAGAAAGGUUUUCGGAUCGUAAAACUCUGUUGUCAGAGAAGAACAAGUUGGAGAGUAACUGCUCCAGCCUUGACGGUAUCUGACCAGAAAGCCACGGCUAACUACGUGCCAGCCGCAGC